rnacentral:rRNA from 1 species
ACACUCCUACGGGAGGCAGCAGUGGGGAAUAUUGCACAAUGGGCGGAAGCCUGAUGCAGCAACGCCGCGUGCGGGAUGACGGCCUUCGGGUUGUAAACCGCUUUCGCCUGUGACGAAGCGUGAGUGACGGUAAUGGGUAAAGAAGCACCGGCUAACUACGUGCCAGCAGCCGCGGUGAUACGUAGGGUGCGAGCGUUGUCCGGAUUUAUUGGGCGUAAAGGGCUCGUAGGUGGUUGAUCGCGUCGGAAGUGUAAUCUUGGGGCUUAACCCUGAGCGUGCUUUCGAUACGGGUUGACUUGAGGAAGGUAGGGGAGAAUGGAAUUCCUGGUGGAGCGGUGGAAUGCGCAGAUAUCAGGAGGAACACCAGUGGCGAAGGCGGUUCUCUGGGCCUUUCCUGACGCUGAGGAGCGAAAGCGUGGGGAGCGAACAGGCUUAGAUACCCUGGUAGUCCCAUGA